rnacentral:rRNA from 1 species
GGAGCAAUCCUGGUGGCGAGUGGCGAACGGGUGAGUAAUACAUCGGAACGUGCCCAGUAGUGGGGGAUAGCCCGGCGAAAGCCGGAUUAAUACCGCAUACGACCUACGGGUGAAAGCGGGGGAUCGCAAGACCUCGCGCUAUUGGAGCGGCCGAUGUCAGAUUAGCUAGUUGGUGGGGUAAAAGCCUACCAAGGCGACGAUCUGUAGCUGGUCUGAGAGGACGACCAGCCACACUGGGACUGAGACACGGCCCAGACUCCUACGGGAGGCAGCAGUGGGGAAUUUUGGACAAUGGGCGCAAGCCUGAUCCAGCCAUGCCGCGUGUGGGAAGAAGGCCUUCGGGUUGUAAACCACUUUUGUCAGGGAAGAAACGGCUUGAUCUAAUAAAUCGAGCUAAUGA